CCUGAUGCAGCGACGCCGCGUGAGGGAUGACGGCCUUCGGGUUGUAAACCUCUUUCAGCAGGGACGAAGCGCAAGUGACGGUACCUGCAGAAGAAGCACCGGCUAACUACGUGCCAGCAGCCGCGGUAAUACGUAGGGUGCAAGCGUUGUCCGGAAUUACUGGGCGUAAAGAGUUCGUAGGCGGUUUGUCGCGUCGUUUGUGAAAACCAGCAGCUCAACUGCUGGCUUGCAGGCGAUACGGGCAGACUUGAGUACUGCAGGGGAGACUGGAAUUCCUGGUGUAGCGGUGAAAUGCGCAGAUAUCAGGAGGAACACCGGUGGCGAAGGCGGGUCUCUGGGCAGUAACUGACGCUGAGGAACGAAAGCGUGGGUAGCGAACAGGAUUAGAUACCCUGGUAGUCCACGCCGUAAACGGUGGGCGCUAGGUGUGGGUUCCUUCCACGGAAUCCGUGCCGUAGCUAA
rnacentral:rRNA from 1 species